CGGUGGCCUAGUGGUUAGAGCGUCCGCCUCGGAUGCGGGAGGUCAUGGAUUCGAAUGGAGAAAGU